UACGUAGGGCGCAAGCGUUGUCCGGAAUUAUUGGGCGUAAAGAGCUCGUAGGCGGCCUGUUGCGUCCGCUGUGAAAUCCCGGGGCUCAACCCCGGGCCUGCAGUGGAUACGGGCUGGCUGGAGGCAGGCAGGGGAGAACGGAAUUCCUGGUGUAGCGGUGAAAUGCGUAGAUAUCAGGAGGAACACCGGUGGUGUAGACGGCUUACUGGACCAUAACUGACGCUGAGACACGAAAGCGUGGGUAGCAAACAGG
rnacentral:rRNA from 1 species